GGUUAGUAACGCGUGGGAAUAUACCCUUCACUACGGAAUAGCCUCGGGAAACUGGGAGUAAUACCGUAUACGCCCUUUGGGGGAAAGAUUUAUCGGUGAAGGAUUAGCCCGCGUCUGAUUAGAUAGUUGGUGGGGUAAUGGCCUACCAAGUCUACGAUCAGUAGCUGGUUUGAGAGGAUGAUCAGCAACACUGGGACUGAGACACGGCCCAGACUCCUACGGGAGGCAGCAGUGGGGAAUCUUAGACAAUGGGCGCAAGCCUGAUCUAGCCAUGCCGCGUGAGUGACGAAGGCCUUAGGGUCGUAAAGCUCUUUCGCCAGAGAUGAUAAUGACAGUAUCUGGUAAAGAAACCCCGGCUAACUCCGUGCCAGCAGCCGCGGUAAUACGGAGGGGGUUAGCGUUGUUCGGAAUUACUGGGCGUAAAGCGCACGUAGGCGGAUUGGAAAGUAUGGGGUGAAAUCCCAGGGCUCAACCCUGGAACGGCCUUGUAAACUCCCAGUCUAGAGUUCGAGAGAGGUGAGUGGAAUUCCAAGUGUAGAGGUGAAAUUCGUAGAUAUUUGGAGGAACACCAGUGGCGAAGGCGGCUCACUGGCUCGAUACUGACGCUGAGGUGCGAAAGUGUGGGGAGCAAACAGGAUUAGAUACCCUGGUAGUCCACACCGUAAA
rnacentral:rRNA from 1 species